rnacentral:rRNA from 1 species
GGUUUGAUCCUGGCUCAGAUUGGACGCUGGCGGGAUGUGCUUUACACAUGCAAGUCGAACGGCAGCACGGACUUCGGUCUGGUGGCGAGUGGCGAACGGGUGAGUAAUGUAUCGGAACGUGCCUAGUAGCGGGGGAUAACUACGCGAAAGCGUAGCUAAUACCAUACGCCCUUCGAGGAAAGCGGGGGACCUUCGGGCCUCGCACUAUUAGAAGCGGCCGAUAUCGGAUUAGCUGAAAGUUGGUAGGGUAACGGCUCACCAAGGCGACGAUCCGUAGCUGGUUUGAGAGGGCGACCAGCCACACUGGGACUGAGACACGGCCCAGACUCCUACAGGAGGCAGCAGUGGGGAAUUUUGGACAAUGGGAAACCCUGAUCCAGCCAUCCCGCGUGUGCGAUGAAGGCCUUCAGGUUGUAAAGCACUUUUGGCAGGAAAGAAACGGCACGGGAUAAUACCCCGUGCAACUGACAGCCUGCAGAAUAAGCACCGGCUAACUACGUGCCAGCAGCCGCGGUAAUACGUAGGGUGCAAGCGUUAAUCGGAAUUACUGGGCGUAAAGCGUGCGCAGGCGGUUCGGAAAGAAAGAUGUGAAAUCCCAGAGCUUAACUUUGGAACUGCAUUUUUUAACUACCGAGCUAGAGUGUGCCAGAGGGAGGUGGAAUUCCGCGUGUAGCAGUGAAAUGCGUAGAUAUGCGGAGGAACACCGAUGGCGAAGGCAGCCUCCUGGGAUAACACUGACGCUCAUGCACGAAAGCGUGGGGAGCAAACAGGAUUAGAUACCCUGGUAGUCCACGCCCUAAACGAUGUCAACUAGCUGUUUGGGGCCUUCGGGCCUUGGUAGCGCAGCUAACGCGUGAAGUUGACCGCCUGGGUACGGUCGCAGGUUAAAACUCAAAGGAAUUGACGGGGACCCGCACAAGCGGUGGAUGAUGGAUUAAUUCGAUGCAACGCGAAAAACCUUACCUACCCUUGUAUGUCUGGAAUCCCGAAGAGAUUUGGGAGUGCUCGCAAGAGAACCGGAACACAGGUGCUGCAUGGCUGUCGUCAGCUCGUGUCGUGAGAUGUUAAGGUUAAGUCCCACAACGAGCGCAACCCUUGUCAUUAGUUGCUACGAAAGGGCACUCUAAUGAGACUGCCGGUGACAAACCGGAGGAAGGUGGGGAUGACGUCAAGUCCUCAUGGCCUUAUGGGUAGGGCUUCACACGUCAUACAAUGGUCGGGACAGAGGGUCGCCAACCCGCGAGGGGGAGCCAAUCCCAGGGAAACCCGAUCGUAGUCCGGAUCGCAGUCUACAACUCGACUGCGUGAAGUCAGGAAUCGCUAGUAAUCGCGGAUCAGCAUGUCGCGGUGAAUACGUUCCCGGGUCUUGUACACACCGCCCGUCACACCAUGGGAGUGGGUUUUACCAGAAGUAGUUAGCCUAACCGUAAGGAGGGCGAUUACCACGGUAGGAUUCCCAUGACUGGGGUGAAGUCGUAACAAGGUAG